AAAAGAAACCAACAGGGAUUACCUCAGUAACGGCGAGUGAAGCGGUAACAGCUCAAAUUUGAAAGCUAGCUCUUUUAGGGUUCGCAUUGUAAUUUGUAGAAGAUGCUUCGGGUGUGGCCCCGGUCUAAGUUCCUUGGAACAGGACGUCAUAGAGGGUGAGAAUCCCGUAUGUGACUGGGUGCUUUCGCUCAUGUGAAGCUCUUUCGACGAGUCGAGUUGUUUGGGAAUGCAGCUCAAAAUGGGUGGUAAAUUUCAUCUAAAGCUAAAUAUUGGCCAGAGACCGAUAGCGCACAAGUAGAGUGAUCGAAAGAUGAAAAGCACUUUGGAAAGAGAGUUAAACAGUACGUGAAAUUGUUGAAAGGGAAGCGCUUGCAACCAGACUUGCGCGCUGAUGAUCAUCCGGGCUUCUGUCCGGUGCACUCGUCUGCGCUCAGGCCAGCAUCGGUUUCGGUGGUGGGAUAAAGGCCUUGGGAAUGUAGCUCCUCUCGGGGAGUGUUAUAGCCCUCGGUGCAAUGCCGCCUAUCGGGACCGAGGACCGCGCUUCGGCUAGGAUGCUGGCGUAAUGGUUGUAAGCGACCCGUCUUGAAACACGGACCAAGGAGUCUAACAUCUAUGCGAGUGUUUGGGUGUCAAACCCAUACGCGUAAUGAAAGUGAACGGAGGUGAGAACCCUUAAGGGUGCAUCAUCGACCGGUCCUGAUGUCUUCGGAUGGAUCUGAGUAAGAGCAUAGCUGUUGGGACCCGAAAGAUGGUGAACUAUGCGUGAAUAGGGUGAAGCCAGAGGAAACUCUGGUGGAGGCUCGCAGCGGUUCUGACGUGCAAAUCGAUCGUCAAAUUUGCGUAUAGGGGCGAAAGACUAAUCGAACCAUCUAG
rnacentral:rRNA from 1 species